AGAACGAACGCUGGCGGCAGGCCUAACACAUGCAAGCCGAACGAGAAGCCACCUUCGGGUGGUGGAAAGUGGCAGACGGGUGAGUAACGCGUGGGAACGUACCCUUUGGUUCGGAACAACUCCGGGAAACUGGAGCUAAUACCGGAUGAGCCCUACGGGGGAAAGAUUUAUCGCCGAAGGAUCGGCCCGCGUCGGAUUAGCUAGUUGGUGAGGUAACGGCUCACCAAGGCUACGAUCCGUAGCUGGUCUGAGAGGAUGAUCAGCCACACUGGGACUGAGACACGGCCCAGACUCCUACGGGAGCAGCAGUGGGGAAUAUUGGACAAUGGGCGCAAGCCUGAUCCAGCCAUGCCGCGUGAGUGAUGAAGGCCUUAGGGUGUAAAGCUCUUUCGCCGAGGGACGAUAAUGACGUACCUGGAUAAGAACGCCCCGGACUAACUUCGUGCCAGCAGCCGC
rnacentral:rRNA from 1 species